rnacentral:rRNA from 1 species
UACGAAGGGGGCUAGCGUUGCUCGGAAUCACUGGGCGUAAAGCGCACGUAGGCGGAUUGCUAAGUCAGGGGUGAAAUCCUGGAGCUCAACUCCAGAACUGCCUUUGAUACUGGCAACCUUGAGUCCGGGAGAGGUGAGUGGAACUGUGAGUGUAGAGGUGAAAUUCGUAGAUAUUCGCAAGAACACCAGUGGCGAAGGCGGCUCACUGGCCCGGUACUGACGCUGAGGUGCGAAAGCGUGGGGAGCAAACAGG